UGGAGCAAACAAUUCAUCCAUGUUUGGUUGAGCUGAGUGAGGACCCAGAUGUGGAUGUCAUAUUUUUUACUAGUCAAGCACUUCAAUCAAGCGUCCAAGUCAUGAUGUCAAGUUAGCAUAUGUUUAUAUGUAUUUGCAACCUAAACUGAACUUAUAUUUGUUCUUGAUCGGUAUUUAUGGACAUUACUGCGGGGAGAUUAUUUGCAGUUGAUGGACAGGCUCAGUUUGAUCCAUGCGAUUACACGGAGGAUGUCUACCAGCAGGAGCUUGAGCACAUUCAGCAGGUUUCGGUCACAACUAAUCGUGGACAAGAUACCAUUCCUUCCUUCUAUGGUUGUUUGGGAUUGUACAUUGAAGGAUCAGUUCCCUCAACUAUGUCUGGUGUUGACAUCAGAGUUAUAGCAGCAAGACAAAGAGUAGCAUCCCAUUAAGGAUCAGUUUCCUCAACUAUGUAUCAGUCGACAAUGCCUAAGAUCAAGGUGGCGAUAAAUCUAAAACAACUGUACAAGGAAAUGAAAGAUGGAUAUGCAGCAGCAAAUGGAAGGAUCUCACUCCGAAGUAAGCACUUUUUGGUGUAAUAAUUUUUAUAAUUUCAAGUUAUUUGUUUGAUCUCCAACCCAUAGA